rnacentral:rRNA from 1 species
GAAAAAAUUGCUGAUUUUGUUGUGCAGUUCAUCAUGGUUUGAAGUGAUAAAUUUAUUUUAAUUUUUUUUUUUAUUUAAUAAAAAUAUUUUUGUUUUUAGUAUUUUAGAAUUAAUAUAUUUUAAUUAUAAUUUAUUUUACUGUAAAGGUUAUUUUAAUUAAUAUAAAGUAUUUUUUUGAAGUACCUUUUGCAUCAGGGUUUAUUAAUUUAAUAAAGUUAUUCUUUUUUUCCCGAAAUUUUAAGAUUUAAGUUAAAAUGUUUUUUAUUGUUUUAUAAAUAUUUACAAUUUUAUCUUAGAGGUUAAAUGCUUUUCAAUUAAGAUGAUAUCUGGUUUUUUAAUAAUUGAAUUUAAUUCAUCCUAGAUUAUUGUUUAUUUUAAAUUUAAUUAAUUAAAAUUUUUCUAGGUAAGUGUUUUGGGGAUAAUCUCAAAUUGUUUAUUAAAAAUUUUUUUUGUAAGAUUUUUUAUAGGAUUGAUAAUUUCUAUUUUUAUUUUGUUAUAAUAAAUUUUCUUUUUUUAGGAUUUAUAAUUUUUUAGUUUUUUAUUAAAAAUUUUUUUUUAAUUUUUUAUUUUAAGUUAUUAUGAUAAAAUUAGUAAUUUUUUUAAUUUAUUUAUUGGAACUCGGCAAAUAUAAUUUUCACCUGUUUAACAAAAACAUGGUUUUUUGAUUUUAAUUUAAGAUCAGGCCUGCCCGUUGAUUAUAAAUAUUGAAAGGCUGCGGUAUUUUAACUGUACGAAGGUAGCAUAAUCAUUUGUCUUUUAAUUGAAGGCUAGUAUGAAUGGUUUGAUGAAAUAUUAACUUUCAUUAAUUAAUUAAUUUGAAUUUAAUUUUAUAGUUAAAAAUCUAUAAUUUUUUUAUAGGACGAGAAGACCCUAUAGAAAUUGAUUAUUUUUAUAAAAUAUUAUUUUUUGUUUUUAAUUGUUUUUUUAGAAUGAAUAAUUUUGUUGGGGCGACAGUGAAAUUUUAUUAACUUUUAAUUUAUUGAUUCAUUAAUUUAUGUUUUUUGAUCCAGAAUUUUUGAUUAUAAGAUUAAUUUACCUUAGGGAUAACAGCGUAAUUUUUUCGGAGAGUUCUUAUUGAUGAACAAGUUUGCGACCUCGAUGUUGAAUUAAGAUUAGAUUUAGGUGGAAAGUUUUAAUUUUCUUGGUCUGUUCGACCAUUAAUUUCUUACAUGAUUUGAGUUAAGACCGGCGUGAGCCAGGUCGGUUUCUAUCCUUAAUUUUAUAUAAG